GACGAACCGUGCGAACGUUGUUCGGAUUCACUGGGCUUAAAGGGCGCGUAGGCGGCUUGCCAAGUCAGGGGUGAAAUCUUUCGGCUCAACCGGAAAAGUGCCUUUGAUACUGGCGAGCUAGAGGGAGGUAGGGGUGCGUGGAACUUCUGGUGGAGCGGUGAAAUGACGUAGAUAUCAGAAGGAACGCCGGUGGCGAAAGCGACGCACUGGAUCUCUACUGACGCUGAGGCGCGAAAGCUAGGGGAGCGAACGGG
rnacentral:rRNA from 1 species